rnacentral:rRNA from 1 species
UUUUCGGUAGAAGAUGACCUCGCGGCCUAUCAGCUUGUUGGUGAGGUAAUGGCUCACCAAGGCGACGACGGGUAGCCGGCCUGAGAGGGCGACCGGCCACACUGGGACUGAGACACGGCCCAGACUCCUACGGGAGGCAGCAGUGGGGAAUAUUGGGCAAUGGAGGAAACUCUGACCCAGCGACGCCGCGUGCGGGAUGAAGGCCUUCGGGUUGUAAACCGCUUUCAGCAGGGAAGAAGCGAAAGUGGCGGUACCUGCAGAAGAAGCACCGGCUAACUAUGUGCCAGCAGCCGCGGUAAUACAUAGGGUGCAAGCGUUGUCCGGAAUUAUUGGGCGUAAAGAGCUCGUAGGUGGUUCGUUACGUCGGAUGUGAAAAUCUGGGGCUCAACCCCAGACCUGCAUUCGAUACGGGCGAACUAGAGUGUGGUAGGGGAGACUGGAAUUCCUGGUGUAGCGGUGGAAUGCGCAGAUAUCAGGAGGAACACCAAUGGCGAAGGCAGGUCUCUGGGCCAUUACUGACACUGAGGAGCGAAAGCGUGGGGAGCGAACAGGAUUAGAU